GACGAACGCUGGCGGCGUGCUUAACACAUGCAAGUCGAGCGGUAAGGCCCUUCGGGGUACACGAGCGGCGAACGGGUGAGUAACACGUGGGUGACCUGCCCCCUACUCUGGGAUAAGCCUGGGAAACUGGGUCUAAUACCGGAUAUGACCUCAUAUCGCAUGGUGUGUGGUGGAAAGUUUUUCUCGGUGGGGGAUGGGCCCGCGGCCUAUCAGCUUGUUGGUGGGGUGAUGGCCUACCAAGGCGACGACGGGUAGCCGGCCUGAGAGGGCGACCGGCCACACUGGGACUGAGACACGGCCCAGACUCCUACGGGAGGCAGCAGUGGGGAAUAUUGCGCAAUGGGCGGAAGCCUGACGCAGCGACGCCGCGUGGGGGAUGACGGCCUUCGGGUUGUAAACCUCUUUCGGCCCCGACGAAGCGUGAGUGACAGUAGGGGUAGAAGAAGCACCGGCCAACUACGUGCCAGCCGCCGCGGUAACAC
rnacentral:rRNA from 1 species